CUAUUUACAAGUAAGAUAAAUUAUAUGAGAUCUUUAAUUUAUAUAUAAGAUAAUUUUAUUCUGUUUUAAUAUCUGUGUAAUGUUAGUUUAAAAUAUUAUUUUUUAAUAUAUUGAUUUUUUAUAUUAGGUAGGUGCCCAUUCUGUUCCUAUCUUCAGAAGUUAUUUAUACCUAUGCAAUACCUUCGCUCAGGUUAAAGAAUGGAAUACUAGUCUUGCAUCAAAUCUAUGUAAAAAUCUAGCUUUUAUAUAUUAACUUGUGAUCAGAGCAACUGAUAUUUUACAUAUCCAUUCGAUGUUUAUCACCAGAAGUUAGUUCUACCUUUGCAGUACCUCUGCUCUACAUACCUCCUCGCUGGUUAAAGAAUGGAAUGUAAAUCUCAUAUCAAGUUGGUGUAAAAAUUUAGUUCAGUAAAUUAAGAAUAUGUAAACGUUAUCAAAAUUUUGAGUGGAGCAAUUGUUUUUCUGGUUUAGCAUGAGUAUGAAUCUGAUAUCAAUUGGAUGUACAAAGAUAGUUUACUACUUAAAGAACCUAUCAGUAAACCAACUGAUUAUAAAACAGUUUUUAAUAUGAAUAAAAACAAAUUUUCAAAA
rnacentral:lncRNA from 1 species